AAAAAAAAAAAAAAUUACCAAGGGGAAGGCGAGCAAAUGGUUUGGGAUCUGACAGCCCACUUCACAUCCCUCUCAAAAUCACUUAAGAAGUACCUAAACAGUGGCAGAGAUUAAAGUUUGGAAUAACCCCAGCGCAAGCACGGAGGGACAGAGCCCAGGCCGCAUCUCCAGAGCCCCGAAAAUCAAUUAUUUCCCCGGAUAUUCGCCCAAUCUCCGGGAAAAGCAGCGAGAUCUCGGAUGGAUCGGCUGCGCCAAAGAAAACGAGAGAAAUUUGGGUGAUAAAUCGGGAGGCUCGAACAACGAAGGUAAAAAAUAUCCACAGACAAAAGAGCACCGCGAGGAGAAAAGAACCACAGAGGUUACGGGGAGGAAGGAGGAAUAAUAAUUCAUAUUCUGUACAGGACUCUACGCUCUAAAUGUGAUUUGCAUUCAGGCUUUCGGGUCACAUUUUCUAAAUUAAAGGUGCUAAACACGACCACGUUACUUCAUAACCCCCCCCAAAAAAAAAAAACAAAAUAACCCAGUACACAGCGAGGUACAAAUUACAGCGAUUUACAAAUGACUGCUGCUAGAGGAAGGCUCACGUAAAAAAAAAAAACACCGGGGCUAUCCUGACUCUAAAGCCACAUGGAAUAGGGAGAUAUUCUAUUGUACAAAAAGGAAAAAAAAA